rnacentral:tRNA from 1 species
GGAUGGUGGCUCAGGGGUAGAGCAUUUGCCUCACAUGCAUAAGGCCCUGGGUUUGACCCUCAGCACCA